rnacentral:snRNA from 1 species
AAGCUGUGGAUCGAGCAGAUCUU